rnacentral:lncRNA from 1 species
GGGAAGCGUUGGGGCAUUGGCCAUGACGACAUCGGUGACUUCUUGCCAGUGAAUGGUUUUAAGGUUGGUGCGCCAAGGAAGUAUCACUUUUUGCGGUAGGCGUCGAUGAAGGCGUAGGUUUCCUCUAGGGUCCAGCAUGGUAGGAGGAGGCAGAGGGAGGGGCGGCGAGAGUGAGGGAAAGGCCGUAAGGGCUUAGCGAAGUGGUUGCUCAGAAGAAAAUGAGAAUAACGCACAAAUGAUUUGGGGGCUAGGGGGCUAACCCGACCGUACUUCAUUCACAAC